SUUGAAGCAGAAGAAAAUAUAUAGUAAUCCUUUUAUAUCAAACAAUCAUUGAAGAUUAUCUAGUCCAAGGACUAUCAUAUUUGCUUCAUGUUUGCUGAAGGCUGCUGAAGAUCUUUUAGGUGUUUCAGUCUGUGGAAAAGGCAGGAGUGCAGCUCUUUGCCUGAGUUUUGUCUUCAUUACACCUUCAUUACUCCCUUUUACAGAAUCAGAAUGAUGAAGAGGAACCAGCAGAAAAUCCAUGUUCAGGCUGACUGGCUUUUAAGGACAACAUACUUCCUUCAGUACAAUUCUUCCAGCAAAACCCAUGGUACGUGACACU
rnacentral:lncRNA from 1 species